GCCUGGUGGCUUAGUCGGUUGAGCGCCUGACUCUCAAUAUCGGUUCAGGUCUCAAUCUCGUGGGUUCAAGCCCCUCUCUGGGCU
rnacentral:tRNA from 1 species